UCGGCUGCAUGAAGCUGGAAUCGCUAGUAAUCGCGGAUCAGAAUGCCGCGGUGAAUACGUUCCCGGGUCUUGUACACACCGCCCGUCACACCAUGGGAGCCGGGAAUGCCCGAAGUCAGUGGCCCAACCGCAGGGAGGGAGCUGCCGAAGGCAGGCCCGGUGACUGGGGUGAAGUCGUAACAAGGUAGC
rnacentral:rRNA from 1 species